CAGGAUGAACGCUGGCGGCGUGCUUAACACAUGCAAGUCGAACGAGGCUGCCAUCGGAAGUUUCGGAUGGAAGAAGGCAAGACCGAGUGGCGGACGGGUGAGUAACGCGUGGGGAACCUGCCCCAUUCCGGGGGAUACCAGUUGGAAACGACUGUUAAUACCGCAUAAGCGCACGGCAUCGCAUGAUGCAGUGUGAAAAACCACGGUGGAAUGGGAUGGCCCCGCGUCUGAUUAGCCAGUUGGCAGGGUAACGGCCUACCAAAGCGACGAUCAGUAGCCGGCCUGAGAGGGCGACCGGCCACAUUGGGACUGAGACACGGCCCAAACUCCUACGGGAGGCAGCAGUGGGGAAUAUUGCACAAUGGGGGAAACCCUGAUGCAAGCGACGCCGCGUGAGUGAAGAAGUAUUUCGGUAUGUAAAGCUCUAUCAGCAGGGAAGAAGAUGACGGUACCUGCACAAGAAGCCCCGGCUAACUACGUGCCAGCCGCCGC
rnacentral:rRNA from 1 species